UACGUAGGUGGCAAGCGUUGUCCGGAAUUACUGGGUGUAAGGGGAGCGCGGGCGGGAAGCCAAGUCAGCUGUGAAAACUACGGGCUUAACUUGUAGACUGCAGUUGAAACUGGUUUUCUUGAGUGAAGUAGAGGUUGGCGGAAUUCCGAGUGUAGCGGUGAAAUGCGUAGAUAUUCGGAGGAACACCGGUGGCGAAGGCGGCCAACUGGGCUUUAACUGACGCUGAGGCUCGAAAGUGUGGGGAGCAAACAGG
rnacentral:rRNA from 1 species